CAAGCAUAUCACGUUGAAACCCCCGUUUCUCGUACGAUCACCAUAGUUAAGCAACUUCGAGCCUGGUCAGUACCUAGAUGGGUGACCCCUUUGGAAUGCCAAGUGCUGUAAG